GACGAACGCUGGCGGCGUGCCUAACACAUGCAAGUCGAGCGAGAGACUUCGGUCUCUAGCGGCGGACGGGUGAGUAACACGUGGGUAACCUGCCUUAUAGAGGGGGAUAGCCUUCCGAAAGGGAGAUUAAUACCGCAUAAGAAGUAAAGGCCACAUGGUCUUAGCUUUAAAGGAGUAAUCCGCUAUAAGAUGGACCCGCGGCGCAUUAGCUAGUUGGAGAGGUAAAGGCUCACCAAGGCGACGAUGCGUAGCCGACCUGAGAGGGUGAUCGGCCACAUUGGAACUGAGAUACGGUCCAGACUCCUACGGGAGGCAGCAGUGGGGAAUAUUGCACAAUGGGGGAAACCCUGAUGCAGCAACGCCGCGUGAGUGAAGAAGGCCUUCGGGUUGUAAAGCUCUGUUGUAGGGGACGAUAAUGACGGUACCCUACAAGGAAGCCACGGCUAACUACGUGCCAGCAGCCGCCGUAAGAC
rnacentral:rRNA from 1 species